rnacentral:rRNA from 1 species
UACGUAGGGGGCGAGCGUUGUCCGGAAUCAUUGGGCGUAAAGCGCGUGUAGGCGGCCCGGUAAGUCCGCUGUGAAAGUCCAGGGCUCAACCCUGGGAUGCCGGUGGAUACUGUCGGGCUCGAGUCCGGAAGAGGCGAGUGGAAUUCCCAGUGUAGAGGUGAAAUUCGUAGAUAUUGGGAAGAACACCGGUGGCGAAGGCGGCUCACUGGCUCAUUUCUGACGCUCAGGCGCGACAGCGUGGGGAUCAAACAGG